GGAUGCAAGGACAACCUUGCUAUGACAUCUGUCACCCCACUGAUCGCCAGGGUUGAUUCGGAUGACCUGGCUGGCUAGGCUGGUGUCCCCUUCCUCCCUCACUGCUCCAUGUGUGUCCCUCCCAAAGCUGCGCAUUCAGUGGAAGAGGGUGACCACCCGUGAUAGAGGAGGACCGUAGAGUAGCUGCACUCCCCUGCUAGACCCUCCAAACAAGCUCUCAAGAACUGGGUGUGCUGACACACUCCUGUAAUCCCAGCUACUCUUGAAGCUUGAGGCAAGAGGAUCCCAAGUU
ensembl:misc_RNA 7SK 7SK RNA